rnacentral:rRNA from 1 species
GUCUACGGCCGUGCCACCCUAAACAGGCCCGAUCUUGUCUGAUCUCAGAAGCUAAGGAGAGUCGGGCCUGGUUAGUACUUGGGUGGAAGAUCAUCUAGUAAGACCUGGUGCUGUAGUCA